AUGAGUCGACCUGAUGGGAUCAACAUCCCCGACGGCAAGUUCUACCUUGGAGAUGCUGGCUAUGCAUGCCGGCCGGGUAUUCUUCCACCCUUGAGGAAAACAAGGUACCAUAUCAACGAGUUCUCUAGUAGGAACUGUCCUAGGACUGCACAGGAGUUGUUUAAUCUCAGACACUCCAGCCUUAGAGUAACUGUUGAGAGGGCAUUUGGAGCUCUGAAGAAUAGGUUUAAGAUCCUGGAUCAGAAGCCAUUCCGCCCAUACUCCACUCAGGUUAAGCUUGUUCUUGCUUGUUGCAUUCUGCAUAACUGGAUCCUCUAG
rnacentral:rRNA from 1 species